rnacentral:misc_RNA from 1 species
GCAGGAAUGAAGUCACCGAUAUUGAAAACUCCGGCCAACACCAUCAACUCCACCACCAUUGAUUUGAAUUCGUCUGCCUUUGGAUCACCACCGCUGCUACCGUCGUUAAACACUCUUCUGCCUAUCAUCACGCGCCCAAGGGCAUUGGUGGUGCACACGUUCAGCAAUUGUCCUAGGUUAACUUGCGUUUGGCCCGCACUUGCUAGUACGCGUGUAAGCACUGCUACUUCUUGCUGUCUAAUGUGUCUAAAAUCAUCCAACGCCUUGCCGGAGAAGAGGUGGACGGAGCUGAUCUUCCUAAGCAGGCGCCACCGCGGACCAUAUGGUGCAAACACAAGGUCUUGGUAAUUAUAAGCAACAUAUUUUGCACCGGAAUUCGGCGGCCGGUUUGAGAAGUUCGCGUCAUGAACCUUCAAGAAUUGGGCUGCGACGGAGGCAGAAGCCGCCACCACAACAUCCACGAAGCCCAUUCGAAGGUGCAUGAGAGGCCCAUAGAUUCGAGCCAAGUCAGCUAAGGAGUGGUGGGGUUUAGGGCCCAAAUGAGGCAAGUUUCCAAGGAGAGGCCAUGGCUUUGGGCCUGGUGGAAGAGGACGGGAGGCACGGUGGAGGAAGAGUUGGCGAAGGUGGAGCAGAAAGUAAAGGAAGGUGGCGAAAGCUAUAGAGUAGAAGAUGAGAGUAGACAUGUUAAAGUGAG